CCGGCGGAGAAGACUUUCGAGAUAAGCGAACAUUUUGUAAAAGUUCAAAUUGUAUUCACUUUAGUGGUCCUUUGUGUGUUAUAUGUGAGCCGAAUCGUAGAGGGGAUAAUAAAGAUCCCUACAAGGGGUUGAGUAAUGUUCUACCAUGAAUAUCAACUGCUCUAAGCCAAGGCAAAUAUAAAAUGUCAGCUUUUUAGCGGAGUUUCGCGUGGCGUUUUUCUCCAUAGUACGAACAGUUCGUGAGCUCAACAGAUCCUUACCUCUUUGACUUUAGCCCGUCUUUCCUUGGUUUCUGGGUCCAGAGGUUCGUGUCCAGUCGCCCCGGGCGGGCGGUGAUACUCAACGAAAGGACCCUCUCGUCGUUUCCAGACGAACCCGAAUCGCUGCUGUCCGGACCGGUGCGGGUGUUGGUCUCCACCGCGGAGGAAUGAAAGAAAACUCCGCUAAGCAGCUUGGACGAGUCCGUCACUUUUGUCAGGUGAAGUCACAGAACAGGCUCCGAUCCGGCUACUGAUCAGGACAUUGUGAGAUGUGCCGUCACUUCAAGCACUGGGAACAGGAACUGACUCAGGAGCUGGAGCAGGCAGGAGGUUAGCAGGUCGGAGCCUAUCUGGCUGGCUGUCCGGGAGGUUAGCUCAGGACAGGAAGGCUGCAGGCUCACAGACCCCAGUCUAAUCUACUAGAGUGCAGGCAGGUUGCUAGUGUGACCUGUGAAAAUGUCUUCUGUCUAAAUGAAUCUCCCAGAGCUGGCCAGGCUUGUGGUAACUCAGGUUUAUUCCACAUCUGCAUUCAUGAAAAAAGGAAAAUAGAAUGGUCAUCUCUUGUGGACAAACAGGGCAUGCUCUGCCUAGUGACAAAUCCUCUGUUGUUGCUGCUUUUAGGAUUAUAGUAUGUUUACAUUUUCUGACUUUCUAGGCUCUGUACAAUACAUUGACACAGUGGGUUCAAAUUUACUAAGUAAAUGAAACAGAAUAGA